UUUUUUUUUGGAUGGUGUGGGGGAGAACUUAGCGUUGCGGUUGUGUGCACGCGUGUGCGUGUGUGCGCGCGCGAGUGUAAAAGCAGGGCGAAAGGGGUGUGCGAGGGGGUUGCACCCCCCCGCCUCUCUCCGGCUUGUCUGCGCGCACGUUCGCGCGCGCGCGUGUGUGUGUGUGAGAGAGAGAGCACGUGUGUGUUGUGUGUGUGUUUGUGUGUGUGUGUCGUUCUGACCGCCGAAAGCCUCUCGCUUUUCCACGCCACUUUUUUUUUUCAAUUUUAAUUUUUUUAAAAAGUGGCUUCCGUGGGGAUGCCUCCGAAGCACACGCGCGCACACGCACGCACACAUACACCCAUGCCAACAAUGAAAAAGGAGCACAUGAAACUUAGCACCCCCCAGCAACUGGACUGGCAGCGGACCCUCCUUGGCUGUGGAAUUCCCGGAGAUGGUUCUGAAGAAAACCGCACGUUCACACAUUGAUUAGAAACAGGAAGAAGGAAAACAGGCAACAGACCAACAGUACUUUCACCAACUCCAAGUUGAAGAUCGUCUCUGCAGGGUGGAGGAACACAUCACACUUCUGCAUAUGUAAGAGAACAAGAUAUGUUAAGAAGAAACCUUCUGGCUGAGAACACCCAAAUUCAGCAGCCUACUUCCAGCCAUAAGAUACCUGUCACCUCUUGGAAAGCUUCAGUGAAGAUGUCAACCCAACGAUUCCCCUUCUUCCUUGCAUCCAGUGUAUCUGGGAUUGAAAGAGUAUUCUUGAGUACUGGAGGGUGUUCCAUGAGCAGUAUAUGCCAGCUGCAGGCCACCUGCUGCCAACCCCUGAAACACUGUGCAUCAUAACUGACAACAUUUGGACUCCAGUGGGGCACAUUGCCAAGGGCAUCAUCAAGUACAGACUGAACUCAUCCUAGAAGAGGAGGAUGCAAGGUCGGUGAUACAGCUGUGGAACAUUCCUGUAUCCAUCACGAUUCAAAAAGAUCUCCCCCUAGAAGAAUUCUAGGGUUAUUUUAUGAAAAAUUCCCUUAGCUGUUCAACAGAAGUGCAGGGAUUCACAGAGCAGAACAGCUGAGUUCCCUACUCCUUUUUUCCCCUCAUCAACUGGCACUUAGAGUCUCAGUUACUCACUCAGAGAUAUUAGUGGGAGAAAGAUUAAAAAAAAUCUAUUACUCAAACUCAACUAGAUCAAACAGCAAACUGGCAAAAUAUGGCUGCUUGCAGCAACAGGCCUCAACACUUUCACAGACUGCAAGAGAGGUGGAAAAAAGGCAGAGCAGAGACGCAGGGUUCUCUUUGCAUCAGAGGCGAGAGGGAGCCAUUGGUUAGUGCUGGAUAGAUUGACAGUCACCCCAGCCCUGAAAGGUCCCUCCCAGCCAAACAUACUAAAGGCAGCAUGCGAGGUUGCAAUAAAACUCCAACAGAAUUGUGCA
rnacentral:lncRNA from 1 species